GACGAACGCUGGCGGCGUGCUUAACACAUGCAAGUCGAACGGUGAAGCGCCUUCCUUUUUGGUGGGUGUGGAUGAGUGGCGCACGGGUGAGUAACACGUGAGUAACCUGCCCCCUUCUUCUGGAUAACCGCAUGAAAGUGUGGCUAAUACGGGAUAUUCUGGGUCUGUCGCAUGAUGGGUCUGGGAAAGAUAUUGUUUCGGUGGGGGAUGGGCUCGCGGCCUAUCAGCUUGUUGGUGGGGUGAUGGCCUACCAAGGCGGUGACGGGUAGCCGGCCUGAGAGGGUGGACGGUCACACUGGGACUGAGACACGGCCCAGACUCCUACGGGAGGCAGCAGUGGGGAAUAUUGCACAAUGGGCGCAAGCCUGAUGCAGCGACGCCGCGUGAGGGAUGGAGGCCUUCGGGUUGUGAACCUCUUUCGCCAGUGAAGCAGGCCUGCCUCGUUUGUGGGUGGGUUGACGGUAGCUGGAUAAGAAGCGCCGGCUAACUACGUG
rnacentral:rRNA from 1 species